ACGGAGGAUGCAAGCGUUAUCCGGAAUUAUUGGGCGUAAAGCGUCCGUAGGUGGCAGGCCAAGUCUACUUUUAAAGCGUGCAGCUCAACUGCAUAUAGGGAGUGGAAACUGGUCAGCUAGAGUUCGGUAGGGGCAGAGGGAAUUCCCGGUGUAGCGGUGAAAUGCGUAGAUAUCGGGAAGAACACCAGUGGCGAAAGCGCUCUGCUGGGCCUGAACUGACACUGAUGGACGAAAGCUAGGGGAGCGAAAGGG
rnacentral:rRNA from 1 species